ensembl:lncRNA
UGGAUGUAGGUGGAAAUGGGAAAGGGAACUUGGUUAUUAUUACUACUGAAAAUGGGCAAAGGCAUAGUAAUACUCCUGGGAAUGUCAGGAUAUGACUUUUUCUGAGCAAACCCAAAGGCAGAGGGAGGAGAGGAUAAGUGAUUCCCUGGCUUUAACUUUCCCUCUCACUUAGAAAUAUGUGACAGAAAGAAUGAGAAAACAAGGCAUGACAGAAAACAGUGACAAAAUGGUCCCUGUCAACCAACAGGGAUGUCCUAGGAUCAAACAGCUCAGCCAGAAGGGAACUGGAUCUUUCAUGGUACCCUGAGAGCUCAGUGGGGUCGCUCAUAGGCAGUUAUCCCUGUGCAGGGCCUGCCAUUCUCCUUAUUUGGACUGUGCUCGUUAACAAAUCCUGUGCUUUGGAGGAGGGAUGUCCCAUUCCCUCAACCCACACAUGGGCUUUAGAUCUGUGGUUUCCUCGCUUCCUUUGCCCCCAACGCUGCGUAAGUCCAAGUGGAUGGGGAAAGCUCUGUUGACAUUUUGGAGGGAGGAGAAGGAAACGAGUGGGUGAGUAGGCUCCAAAGCCUCGUUCCGCAGCUGUGACCUUUAGGCAAGCUUUGAUUUCUCAGGGCCCAGAGCUCACAGUGGGCUCUCUGGGGGCAUGUGUGACUUGCAUAUCUUUUUCACUUCCUUAAACCGAAUGAGGCCAGGGGAGGAGGAAUCUUCAGAAGGUGAAGCAGCUGAAGUGCAGGGAAUCUGCGUCAGCCAAGAUGACACCAGUCAGGAACCCAAGCUUGAAGAUGACCAGGCCCUUCCACCACAGCCUGCUAUGGGGCUGGAAUCCCCAUCUCCCGUCAUUCUCCAGGGGGCUCCUAAAGAGGUGGGCGUAUUUUUUUCCUGGUUUGAAACAUGAGAUGAAUUGAAGGCAGGGAAUAUGGAUGGUUCAAAGAGCCCCAGUCUGGUCUGGUUGCUUGGAGGCCGGGUUUCCAGUCCAGCAUGAUGCCAUGUCUCCCCUAGCUCCAUCUACCAAGCAAAAAUCAUAAUGCGGGCCAUUUCAUAGGCUAGUGUAAGAUCAUGAUUCAUGAUCCCACUUGAUUCAAAAUGUCUUGUAAAUGGUAAGGAACUAUUCUCAUGUAAGAGGUGACUAUUAUUACUGAAACAAAGUUGCAAAGACUUGGAACCAACACAAAUGCCCAUCAAUGAUAGACUGGAUAAAGAAAACGUGCACAUAUACACCAUGGAAUACCAUGCAGCUAUAAAAAAGAAUGAGUUAAUGUUAUUUGCAGGGACAUGGAUGAAGCUGGAAACCAUCAUCCUCAGCAAACUAACACAGGAACAGAAAACCAAACACCACACAUUCUCACUCAUAAGUGGGAGUUGAACAACGAACACAUGGACACAGGGAGGCGAACAUCACACACCAGGGCCUGUCGGGGGGUGAGGGGAAAGGGGAGCGAGAUCAUUAGGCCAAAUAUCUAAUGCAUGUGGGGCUUAAAACCUAGAGGAUGGGUUAAUAGGUGUAGCAAACCACCAUGAUACAUGUAUACCUAUGUAACAAACCUGCACAUUCAGCACACGUAUCCCAGAACUUUAAAAAAAAAAAAAAAAAA